rnacentral:lncRNA from 1 species
AUUCUGGGCAAAAGAAAACAAUGCCCUAUUGAGUGGAAAUGUAAUAGGGCAAGAAGAAUCACAGAACACAGUGUUCCCUGAUAAUACAGAAAAUGAAGAUGAAAAACAAAUUGAACAUGUGACUGCUGAGAACACAAAUAGCAACAAGAAAGACAUUCAUGAUGCGAUCCAGACAACAGCAAGGGAGAUUCAAGAGACCUCAGAAAGCCAAAGAGAAAAGAUUACCACAUGGGAUGUCUCCAGUAAGGACAUGAAUAAUCUUCAUAGUGAGACAGAGAGCCUAAGACAAAAGGCUAACAUAAUGGAAAAGGAGUAAGUAUCUUGCUGUGCUGAGUGAUGGGGCUGACCCUCAAGUCUCUUGUUACAUUACUGCGCCCUUGCACAUCCUACAGCAGGUUGACUGCCAGAUAACAAAUGACAUGAGCUCCUUUUUAGUGAAUGAUAAUGAAGAAUUGGUCAGCAAUGUCAUCACUGUUGCAUGCUCAGAUAAGAAAAAGAAAAUUCCAUUCCCAAUAUGCAUUGCAAUUCCAUUCAAGGCACGCUACAAGGGAAAUUACAGAGAUAUUAUGGUGAAAAUGUCUGACACAAACUUUCAGUCAAGUUACCUAAUCCCUAAUUUACUGGAAAGAAUGAGGGGAGGUUGUAAGGGGACUUGUGCUGCAGUGAAUGUUUACAAGCUGGGAAUGUUUUCUGUCGUGUCAUGUUUGAAAAACAGUCCUUCACAGUGACAAAAAAGGGACUCACUUUGACGUCCAGCAUGGAUGCCUGGAUAUCCUUCAGUUAUCCUGUAAGAGUUUUCAACUCACCAGUGCUUGCACAGUUAAAGAUCCAGCCAGUUGACCCUUCUCUAGUGUCAUAUUUAAAAACAAAUCAAGAUCCUUCCUGCUCAGUAGUGUCCACCAGUCCACUUAUUUACGUCCAGCAUCCAUCAACCCAUCCCUUUCAGAAGCCAGUCACUGUAUUUCUCCCUUGUUCUCCUCUACCUGACAAAAAGACCCUUGUGUUUGAGAAAGAUCAUAGAGGAGAAGAGAGUGCAGCAGUACACAGCAACCUGCCAAUACCCUCCUACUUCAACAGGUCCAAAAGUACAUCCAUCAGUAAACAUGGUAACAAUGCAUGUGGAACACUAAAAUUACUUGGAUUCACAAGCAGAGAUAGUGGUUGGUUUGGGAUCGAUGACAUUGUGGUGAAAGUUGUCCAGAUUGGCUUGGUAUCAUUCAAAUUAUAUGAACAUUUAGAGAGGUUUAUAGUGCUCCAACUCUCUUCCCCAGUGGACAAUAGCCAUUUAGUUUCUUUUGUCAAGUCUUUAGAGGAAGCCUCCCUCAGCACCACUGCCUGCAUUGUAUUGUCACACCAGAAGGACAAUCCACACAGAGUGGUUAUUUUAGCAGUACCUGCUAAGGAGUUAAAUCUAGCACUGAAGAACUUGCAAUCAGAAGGGUUUGGAGGACUUCCAGAAUAAUCUAGACAUUUCCAAGUAAGAGAAGGAGAACAACUUCUUUUAAGGUUUACUGGAAACAUAUUUGGUUCAAGUAAGUAUGAGGAAAUAUUCUUACAUAUUCUACAGAUUUUAAGUCACAAAUCUUAUACGCAACACUCCAAA